rnacentral:lncRNA from 1 species
UAUGUACUUUUGUAAAGAAGAUCAGAAACACCUGAUAUUUUACGAGAAAGAAGUCGAGAACUUUCACCAGAUCAGGUGGGGGAGGUUGGGGUUCUAAAAUCCUGGACACGCGGGGAACGCUGGAUGGUGGGUGUUCUUGGAGUGAUGAUCAAACGAUGAAUCCAGAUUCACGAGAAGCAAAGCGUGCCUCAAGCUAAUUGAUCGAAGACGAAAGUUGACUUUGCCAAUUAUCCGGCCAGGUGCCCAAUCGAUAUCAAGACAGCUCGUGGCGUGCUCUCGUUAAGUGCCUUUCGUAAUAAGGUAAAGAAAUGUACAAAUGUUUGGCAGAUUGUACGGCUAUCCCGUUUAAAAUAAAAUAUCUUAUUUAACAGUGAUUUUUUUCCAGUCAAAUCAUGCAGAAGUUCAAUUCAUCUCAAGACCAAGGGUGCUUUCUUUGGGAAAUAAU